UACACAAGAAUCUACAGGUCGAGCAAGUCUCGUAAAUUUCACGAUUGCGAGCCACGCUUCACGCAACCGUGUUUGCGUACUUGUGUUUCGAGUUGCGUGGUCGUGCGGAGUUAUAUUUACCAAAUUUAAAUCCGUUCCAACAUGCUGUCAAAAUUAAAUCAAUAUGUCAAUAUGGCUACUGGGUGUAAAAGAUAAAUCUUAUUCUAUCUGUUCUUAAUGAGUUUUAGAUAAUUUUAGUUGUAUUUCUUUGUAAUUUUGUGUUGUACAAAGAUUAAUUUAACAUUUUCUCUGGAAGUAUUAAUUUAGAAAGAUAAUAUGCUUCAUUGGUGUUGUGUUUUGAAGUGUGAAAUGCAAAGUAAUUGUGAUAAAGUCAAGAUAAAGUUCACUUUUAAACUGAACUAAAUAAGGUAUCUGAGAGACAACAAUGGUUAAAUGCAAUACAAUGUACAGGUUUUACUAGCGAAAUGAAAAUUUUCCUGUCCUGUCUGCUGUAAUCAUUUUAUAUCUGGAAAACCAGCCGACUUAAUCGAUAAUAACAAUCUCCAGAUUGGGUUCCUUCAAUAAAUAUGGGCUAUAAACACAAUGAAAUUAGUUCCCCAAAAUCUAAAAUGGAGUGGUAUCAAAGGAGAAUUAAAGGAAAAAAUAUUCAUAUUGAAAUUAUUUAUAAGGCACUGGACUGUCUUCAAUUCUACAAUAAUACUAGAAUCAGCUGAGAGAAGUGGUCUACAAAAAACCAGGAAGGAAACGGAAUAUGUGGCUACGAAAGGCAAAAGAAAGGUUUACAAAGCAAAUGUGACACAUUUUUUUGAAAUAUUUAGGAAUAUCAGUAAAUUGCAUUAAAAAAAUGUAUGAAAAGAUUUUGUUCAAUAAAAAUGUUUAUAUUUAUCAAGGAUGUAUUAUUUGGUAUGGCCACAUAUCGUCAGUGAUGUAAUAAUACAUCCUAUCUGUUUUUUCAUGAGUUUUGUAAGAGAGACUAAAAAC
rnacentral:lncRNA from 1 species